rnacentral:rRNA from 1 species
GAUGAACGCUGGCGGCGUGCCUAAUACAUGCAAGUCGAGCGAACUGAUUAGAAGCUUGCUUCUCUGAUGUUAGCGGCGGACGGGUGAGUAACACGUGGGUAACCUACCUAUAAGACUGGGAUAACUCCGGGAAACCGGGGCUAAUACCGGAUAAUAUUUUGAACCGCAUGGUUCAAUAGUGAAAGACUGUCUCGGCUGUCACUUAUAGAUGGACCCGCGCCGUAUUAGCUAGUUGGUAAGGUAACGGCUUACCAAGGCGACGAUACGUAGCCGACCUGAGAGGGUGAUCGGCCACACUGGAACUGAGACACGGUCCAGACUCCUACGGGAGGCAGCAGUAGGGAAUCUACCGCAAUGGGCGAAAGCCUGACGGAGCAACGCCGCGUGAGUGAUGAAGGUCUUCGGAUCGUAAAACUCUGUUGUUAGGGAAGAACAAAUUUGUUAGUAACUGAACAAGUCUUGACGGUACCUAACCAGAAAGCCACGGCUAACUACGUGCCAGCCGCCGCGGUAA